GCAAACUUGGUCAUUUAGAGGAAGUAAAAGUCGUAACAAGGUUUCCGUAGGUGAACCUGCGGAAGGAUCAUUACAGUGCUCGUCGGGACGUCCCACAAAAACGUCCCGCACCUGCCCACCCGUGUCUACCUUUCCUUUUGUUGCUUUGGCGGGCCCGGCAGCUAGACGUACCCACGCCUACCUGCGACCGGCGGACCAGCCGCGUACCCACGCGGCCCCGCUGGGUAGCGCCCGUCAGAGGCUCAUAUGAACCCUUUUUUGUGAAUGCAGUGCAGUCUGAGCUGAUUAGCAGAAAUGCAAGUCAAAACUUUCAACAACGGAUCUCUUGGUUCUGGCAUCGAUGAAGAACGCAGC
rnacentral:misc_RNA from 1 species